GUGCGAUGUAGUUGUAGUCCCUUGGACCGAAGACAAUAGAAAAGAAGGAAUAUACAUUUUUCCACAGGCGUAUGAUGUACAAGAAGGAAGAUAGAGUGGAAAAAGAGAAAGGAAUCCGCAGAGCUGAUAAAUCGAAUAAUCUCUCCUCACGAUGAUAACUCGAUUUUCUAACGAGAAAGGAUUAAUCGAUGGGAAAUUGAUGAGCUCAAGUUUCUGAAUGACUCUCAACAGAGAGGAAUGUUUUUGUUUAGAUGUUCAUCAGUUGUUGAUUAAUUUCUGGUUUUAAUAUUGAAGUUAUGCUCAACUGUAAAGCAGUAGGCAUAAACACCAGUUGAAUGGUUAAGGACAUCCCACAAUGUUUUACAAUAUGCAGAAGGAAAACGGGAGAAUGGAACGCCUAUUCCCAUUUAUUUUAGUGGAUUAGAAAUGUUGAAGGUGCUUUAUCGUGCCUCGACUCCAUUUCCAUUUGGUCGGCAAGACGUGUGUGCAACGAAACUAGCCGUUUCUUCCUCGGUCUGUUUCUCCCACCAUACCAGCUCAUUGGAUGAGUCAGGGAGGAUAGAAUGAACUAGAAGGGCACUUCUGGGCAUUUGCCUGACACCAGCAGCGUCGUAGUACUUGCCCACGAAAGAGGGAGGGCGUCACACUUCGUGUGUGUGUGUGUGAUAACCGACAGAUGAUGUCUUGUUACACAAUGAACUGAUUCUAUCGUUUGGAGUAGGAGGAGAGACUACCUAGAGGCUUACGCCGAUGUUAGUAACGACGCCGACGAUGAGAUGCGCCACCGUCGAUUCUGGCAGCUGGUGUGUUGCCUCGGUAUUUGAAGAAUUAGCAUAACUUACUUCUCCCGGACAUUGGGGCCUCAGGUUUGAACACAUCACGGGGCAGGCUGGGCCGCAGGGUCGAAAACUGGCAUUUUCCGGACAAGGAGGAAGACCACGUUGAGGUACCGCACCUGUCAAAAUUAUCGCAACACUGACAUUCGUAUGACAAUUCAGUAGCGAAGUGAUAAAUCAAGAUAAUACUUUUUGGACUAUUGACCAGUUUUUUAUGAAUAUCUCAAAAUUUGGGGGAGAUAGCGAAAUUUCUAUUGAAACCUUUUUUAUAAAGCAAACUGAGCGCAACAACAAAGAUUAUAACAAAAAUUUCGCUAUCUCUCUUACUCUCCAAGAUAUUGUUGAAAAACUUAAGUUAGAAAUAAGUCCAUUGAUCUCGUUUUACCACUUCGCUACUAAAUUUUGUUUUUAAAUUCUCGUGUAGAUGAUUGACAAUUAUAUUGUGCUUUGGCUUUUCAGAAAAAAUUAACUCACCGCUCGGGAAAGUUUGUUGACUCUCUGGUAAGACUUGUCUAUCCUUUGGCAAAAAAUUAUCCAACAAGUUGGCAAUUUUUCUCGAAUGGGUAGAUAAGUUUUACUAAACAGUCGACAAAUUUCCCUGAGGUGUACGGUAAUUUGAAUAUACGUACAGGUGCAUGCGAAGACCAGGAAUAUGGUCAGUAUGACGAGCUCACGCAUCUUCAGGGCUUUUCGAACGAACGAGAUUAAAUUGAUAUAAAAAAAUUUCACUUGAUCCUUAUAUACAAUUACCAAUAGAAAAAAAAGAAUUCACGCUAAAAAUAUCUGAUUGACGUGCGUGUUUGAUAUGGAAAUGAAUGUUAAUUAAUUCUUUGGAUUUUUAUUUACGCAGUUGGACAGUGAAAGUGAUAAAAUACUAAACCACAUGUUUCAUGGAUCCUCCGCUUCGUCUAUGCUUGUUGUAAGGGCUUCAUUUUCCUUCUUUUGUAACUCAGCGAAGUGCCAGCACUCAACUUAUCUAAACUUUCCACUCUCAGCCACUUGGUGACCCGCAUGAACUUGAAUUAUUUAUUUAAAAAAAAUUAAAAUUGUCAUCUGAUUUUUCAAAAUGUUUGCUAAAUUUGUAACUUGUCUCUAACUUCGACUAGACGAUUGUCUCAUCAGCCCGUGCUAAUCUGCUAUGGUUCACUCAACAGUUUAAUAAUAUUAGACUUCAAUUGAAUACAAACUUAAUUCUCCCAUCUGUUCAAUUUUCUUCAAACUUUAAUAAUUGAAAUUUGAGUUAUGCAGAGACCCCUUCAAAAAAUAAAAAUAAAUGAUUUUCUUAGUGCAACUCAAAAUGUCUUUUAUUUCCGGUGCAAUUAACGUUAAGUUUUUUCACUGUGCACCAACGAACUGUCGGCUGGUCAGGUAAGUGAUAGACGUUCCUGAGUGAAAAACAUUAUCAUUUCAUUAUCAUAAUACUUGAAAUAUGUUUGCAGGUCUCCUACCCUUAAAAUUCCGUAGAAUUAUGAACCUGUUUGUUUGUCUUCCACAUUUCUGACGUCCAGUUGUCAUAACGAGGAAAAAGCAACAAAAAUUGAAUUCGAGUACGUGAUAUUUAUUCUACAAACUCACCGAAAUUAAUAAAAAAAUGUUCGCUAUAGCAGGAAAUUGUAUAAAAGGGUCGUGUGCAAGCUUGCCAGUAUUAAUUUGAUUUAACCAUUUGCAAAACUCUCAAGAUGCGUAUUCUUUUCGUCCUCGCUAUCUUCCUCGUGUUGGCAUACACCACUUCUGCGCAACCUGGCAGACGCCACCCGCGCUGCGCUCUUGGAUCCUCCUGGAGAGCAUGCGGUCGUGCAUGCCCACGUACUUGUGGUAAUCGUAGACCAUCUUGUCCUGGAGCACGCUGUCGAGCUGGAUGCUUCUGCAACCGGGGUUGGAUUCGACAAACUCGCAAUGGGCCUUGUAUCAGAGAAAGCAUGUGUCCUCGCACCAGACCAUGAUCUGUCUGAGGUCUUCCAGAUGAUAGACAAUGGAACAAGGCGAUAAGUGCACGCGCGUAUCGCUGGAAAUUGUAACAAAAAGUGUCAUAUCCGUUCAAAAAAUUAAACAUUGAAAUAAACGAGUCAUUGCAUCAAUAUAUAAUCGAAUUGAAUGGAUUCUGAAUGUAUCCUAUCUCAACGGAUGAUAUGGAUCACUUGCUAAAAGGAUGACAUGCAGUAGUUUGGUGUUGGUUGAAUCAAUAUUUUACUGUCUGCAUAUGUUUAUUUAAAUACGGUAUUUACCAUAUACAUUUGUUACAUAAAUUUCUCAACCACUGAAUCUUUCUGCUGAUCAUUAUCGUAUGAAUUUAUCGUAUUUGUCACAUCAAUGCUCCGUCGUAUAAAAGAAGGAAGUUUGAGUCUCGCUGUAUCAGUUCGAUUUCGUUAUUUGGAAAUCAGUUCGAUUUCUCCGUUUGGAAAUCUUCAGAUAUGCGUGCUAUUUUUAUUUUUGCUAUUUUCAUUGCGCUCGUAUGCACUGUUCGUGCCCAACGCAGAAGUUGUCAACCGAAUGCAACCUGGGGAUGCGGUGAUCCCUGUCCUGCUACCUGUCAGAACCGUAAUCCCAGCUGCAACAGAAUACACUGCGCUGAUAGAUGCUACUGCAACCGCGGGUUUAUAGAACAAUGGUCGGGUGGUCCUUGCGUGCGAUCCUGUUGAAGAUAUUGGCCUUCCUGAAUGCUCUGGGUAAUCGCUCUCCUAGCCGCUCAAAAAUACGACUAUAUUAGCAUCAUUGUUGCCAAAAAAAAAUUUUAAUCCAAUAAAUAAUACCUCUACGUA